ACAUCUCUCCAUAUAAAUAAGGAUGCGUAAAGGUAAUGCUCAUCAAUCCAGUUUGACCAUGAAUAACGAAAUGAUGUCUCGAUUUCUAUUGUUUGCAGCUGUUCUAGUUGUUCUGUGUUCCAUCGCACAAGGUGAACUACUGUGCUAAACUUGUGUCAGUCAAGGAGGAGCAGAUGACGCUUGCAAAACGAAUCCCGCUGCGGUUACCAAUAACCCCAUCGUGCAAUGCAAAUACAAAUACUGCACAAUUCGUCGUCUUGAGUACAAAUCAGACCCAGGGACCAUUUUUAGUUUCUUACGCGGUUGUGAAGAUGAGCCUCUUCCAAACGGGGAAAAUCCUGGAGAAGAUAUUGUUGUGUGGGCACAGUCAUGUAACUUCGCCGACUUGUGCAAUGUAGGUGACGGUCUAGAAGAGAUAACACCAGAAAGUUUGGCUUAGAGGUGGCAAAGAUAACUCGAAAGUCAUAAUCAUAUACCUGUGUCCGGUACUUCUUUGACGAUUGAAUAAAUCCCCUCGGUCAUCUUAUUGGUUGCUUUAUUUCGUCACCAUCUGUAUCGAUUGUAGAGAAACCAUGUGAACACAAAUAAAAAUAUAAUACAGUUUCGUCUAAAAGCGUGGAUUAAAUACAUUUCAUCUCCAUUUUUAAUACGAGAAUGUUAUAAUUAAAUGCUUCAAUUUA